AUAAUGGGUCAGCGACUUAUAUUCUGUAGCAAGGUUAACCGAAUAGGGGAGCCGAAGGGAAACCGAGUCUUAACUGGGCGUUAAGUUGCAGGGUAUAGACCCGAAACCCGGUGAUCUAGCCAUGGGCAGGUUGAAGGUUGGGUAACACUAACUGGAGGACCGAACCGACUAAUGUUGAAAAAUUAGCGGAUGACUUGUGGCUGGGGGUGAAAGGCCAAUCAAACCGGGAGAUAGCUGGUUCUCCCCGAAAGCUAUUUAGGUAGCGCCUCGUGAAUUCAUCUCCGGGGGUAGAGCACUGUUUCGGCAAGGGGGUCAUCCCGACUUACCAACCCGAUGCAAACUGCGAAUACCGGAGAAUGUUAUCACGGGAGACACACGGCGGGUGCUAACGUCCGUCGUGAAGAGGGAAACAACCCAGACCGCCAGCUAAGGUCCCAAAGUCAUGGUUAAGUGGGAAACGAUGUGGGAAGGCCCAGACAGCCAGGAUGUUGGCUUAGAAGCAGCCAUCAUUUAAAGAAAGCGUAAUAGCUCACUGGUCGAGUCGGCCUGCGCGGAAGAUGUAACGGGGCUAAACCAUGCACCGAAGCUGCGGCAGCGACGCUGAUGCGUUGUUGGGUAGGGGAGCGUUCUGUAAGCCUGUGAAGGUGUGCUGUGAGGC
rnacentral:rRNA from 1 species